GCAUAUACCUCGAAUCCCUCAACUUCUCGAACCGAAUCUCCCUACAUAUCCACUCAUCAGCAACUUUUCCAUUAGAGUGGACUGCCGAUGUGUCGACCCGGAGAUCUUACACAGUAAAAUAUCUCCCAAAAUCAUGACCGCUUGCUGUCAAAUCACCUGUACAAUCCCUUGAUUACCGUGCAAACAGUUACCAUAUCCACC
rnacentral:lncRNA from 1 species